AAUUUAUACACAUUUUUGAUUGUUCUGCUUCACUGAUCUAGGGUUUCAGCAGUAUACUUGAAGCUUGUUUUGACCAUCUGAUUCUCGAUUUUGUGUCGUCCUCUCUUGGCUCACCGAUCAGGAGCCAAGAACAGAGGAAUUGAGAGGUUUUGGUGAAAUGGAGUCAAGUGAGGGAUUUUUGACUGAACAACAGAGGGAGAUGCUGGAUAUAGCACCGGUGAAUGUGGAGGUUUUGUCAUCUUCUCCAAAGUCUCCGACUUUGAAAUCUCCAGGUGCUAAAUCCUCUUCUAUUCUCUUGUCGGAUCUUCAUGUGAAGGCAUCAGGCAGUGGGGCUGGGAUUGCUGUGCGACAUGUACGGCGUACGCACUCAGGGAAACAUAUACGGGUUAAGAAGGAUGGUGCUGGUGGUAAAGGCACUUGGGAAAAAUUGCUUGAUACUGAUGUUGAAUCUCAUCUUGAUAGAAAUGAUCCCAACUAUGAUAGUGGU
rnacentral:misc_RNA from 1 species